AUACGGAGGGUGCAAGCGUUAAUCGGAAUUACUGGGCGUAAAGCGUGCGUAGGCGGUUUAUUAAGUCAGAUGUGAAAGCCCCGGGCUUAACCUGGGAACUGCAUUUGAUACUGGUAGACUAGAGUAUGGUAGAGGGGGGUAGAAUUCCUAGUGUAGCGGUGAAAUGCGUAGAUAUUAGGAGGAAUACCAGUGGCGAAGGCGGCCCCCUGGACCAAUACUGACGCUGAGGUACGAAAGCGUGGGUAGCGAACAGGAUUAGAAACCCGAGUAGUCC
rnacentral:rRNA from 1 species